rnacentral:rRNA from 1 species
AACGAACGCUGGCGGCAUGCCUAACACAUGCAAGUCGAACGAGACCUUCGGGUCUAGUGGCGCACGGGUGCGUAACGCGUGGGAACCUGCCCUUAGGUUCGGAAUAACUCCCCGAAAGGGGUGCUAAUACCGGGUAAUGUCUUCGGACCAAAGAUUUAUCGCCUUUGGAUGGGCCCGCGUUGGAUUAGCUAGUUGGUAGGGUAAAAGCCUACCAAGUCGACGAUCCAUAGCUGGUCUGAGAGGAUGAUCAGCCACACUGGGACUGAGACACGGCCCAGACUCCUACGGGAGGCAGCAGUGGGGAAUAUUGGACAAUGGGCGAAAGCCUGAUCCAGCAAUGCCGCGUGAGUGAUGAAGGCCUUAGGGUUGUAAAGCUCUUUUACCCGGGAUGAUAAUGACAGUACCGGGAGAAUAAGCUCCGGCUAACUCCGUG